rnacentral:rRNA from 1 species
AGCUCUAAUAGCGUAUCUUAAAGUUGUUGUGGUUAAAAAGCUCGUAGUUGGAUUUCGGCAGGCAUAGGUUGGUUUGAAUUGCUUCAACACUGACUUUUUUGCCUGUGUUUUUUUGCCAGAGUUUGACGGGUGAUCUUGAUCGAUUGUCCGUUGGAGCUGGCAGUUUUACUUUGAAAAAAUUAGAGUGCUCAAAGCAAGCUUGAUUGCUUGAAUAUUCGUGCAUGGAAUAAUAGAAUAGGAAGUCGUUUCUAUUUUGUUGGUUUUCGGAGAUUGACUUAAUGAUUAAUAGGGACAGUUGGGGGUAUUUGUAUUCCAUUGUCAGAGGUGAAAUUCUUGGAUUUUUGGAAGACAAACUACUGCGAAAGCAUUUACCAAGGAUGUUUUCA